UAUCGUGUUAUUGAUAAUCUAUCAAAAUACAUGUCUGUAAGACCAUUCGCAAUAACAAUUACAAAGAUGUUGGAGUCCAUAACACAUAUCGUUAGACAAUUUAUAAUGCGACAUAUAAUAAAUGCUUUGCAAUUAAUCGAAGUUAAAUGCAUUAUCCAAAAACCUUCGAUAUGAUUAAAAUGUAUUGCAAUCAUAUUAUGAUGAUAGGUAUUAUGAGUGCAAGUUAUAUACAUAUAAUGCAAAAUAUUUUAAAAAUUCGUGCAAGAUUCAAGCAAGACUAUAAAAUUUGACUAAUUCCAAAAAGUUAUAUCUUCCUUUUAUGUAGAAAAUUUCUUCAAUGGAUGAGGCAUUAUUUUAAGAAAUAUAACGAACAACGUUAACUAUAUAUUAAAAUAUA